CUACGGGAGGCUGCAGGCGCGAAACCUCUACACUGCACGAAAGUGUGAUAGGGGAACCCCUAGUGCUCAUGGUUUCCAUGGGCUUUUGCCAAGAGUAAAAACCUUGGCGAAUAAGUAGUGGGAAAGACUGGUGCCAGCAGCCGCGGUAACACCAGCGCUACAAGUGGCAACCAUUAUUAUUGGGCCUAAAGCGUCCGUAGCCGGUUAGGUAAAUCUUCUGUGAAAUUGUGCAACUAAAUUGUACAGCAUGCAGAAGACACUGCUUGACUAGGGACCGGGAGGAGUCAGAAGUAUAUCAGGGGGAGCGGUAAAAUGCUAUAAUCCCUGGUAGACUACCUGUGGCGAAGGCGUCUGACUAGAACGGAUCCGACGGUGAGGGACGAAAGCCAGGGGAGCGAACCGGAUUAGAUACCCCCGUAGUC
rnacentral:rRNA from 1 species